CCUACGGUGGGCAGCAGUGAGGAAUAUUGGUCAAUGGACGCAAGUCUGAACCAGCCAAGUAGCGUGCAGGAUGACGGCCCUCCGGGUUGUAAACUGCUUUUAGUUGGGAAUAAAAGGGGGCUCGUGAGCCCCGGUUUGUAUGUACCAUCAGAAAAAGGACCGUCUAAUUCCGUGCCAGCAGCCGCGGUAAUACGGAGGAUGCGCGCGUUCUCCGGAUUUAUUGGGUGUAAAGGGUGCGUAGGCGGAAGGUUAAGUCAGCGGUCAAAUGUCGGUUCUCAACACCGGCCUGCCGUUGAAACUGGUCUUCUUGAGUGAGCGAGAAGUGUGCGGAAUGGGUGGUGUAGCGGUGAAAUGCAUAGAUAUCACGCAGAACUCCGAUUGCGAAGGCAGCAUACCGGCGCUCAACUGACGCUGAGGCACGAGAGCGUGGGGAUCGAACAGGAUUAGAUACCCUGUAGUC
rnacentral:rRNA from 1 species